AUUUAGCGUGUCGCAUCACGAGUCCGUCCAUACGAGUCCCGAAGCGGCAGAAGAGGCAUGAUUUUCCAAGCGUUGGCUGCUCUUUUACCGCUUAUAAACAGACACACGCAAGACUAGCGAAAACACGACCAGAUUUAAACGUUUUUUUUCUUCAUUUUCAAACGCAUUUUGUUCAUUUCCUGCUAUAUAAACUUCUCUAUUAGCUUUAGCCAGGUAGCUUGCAUCUGGAAAUUGGACAAGCGCUGUCUGAAGUUGAUGUACGUUAGGUUUGUAAAGCUGAACAAAAUCCAGGAAAACUGGAGAUCACAGCCAGGAAAUCUCUUCAGGAGAGAAGACUAAAGCCUUUUCUGCCUUCAAACUCAUCAGUUUAGACCAAAUCAAGACCGAACAAAGAGGACAUCCAUCCAAAGCCUUUUCAUUUCAUCUACAGAAAGAGAAUAAAGCACACACACAAAAAAA